rnacentral:rRNA from 1 species
UACGUAGGGGGCGAGCGUUGUCCGGAUUUAUUGGGCGUAAAGAGCGUGUAGGCGGCCAGGUAGGUCUGCUGUGAAAACUCGAGGCUCAACCUCGAGACGUCGGUUGAAACCGUCUGGCUAGAGUCCGGAAGAGGAGAGUGGAAUUCCCGGUGUAGCGGUGAAAUGCGCAGAUAUCGGGAAGUACACCCGUGGCGAAGGCGGCUCUCUGGGACGGUACUGACGCUGAGACGCGAAAGCGUGGGGAGCGAACAGG